GACGAACGCUGGCGGCGUGCUUAACACAUGCAAGUCGAACGGAAAGGCCCUGCUUUUGUGGGGUGCUUGAGUGGCGAACGGGUGAGUAACACGUGAGUAACCUGCCCUUGACUUUGGGAUAACUUCAGGAAACUGGGGCUAAUACCGGAUAGGAGCUCCUGCUGCAUGGUGGGGGUUGGAAAGUUUCGGCGGUUGGGGAUGGACUCGCGGCUUAUCAGCUUGUUGGUGGGGUAGUGGCUUACCAAGGCUUUGACGGGUAGCCGGCCUGAGAGGGUGACCGGCCACAUUGGGACUGAGAUACGGCCAAGACCCUUCGGGAGGCAGCAGUGGGGAAUAUUGCACAAUGGGCGGAAGCCUGAUGCAGCAACGCCGCGUGCGGGAUGACGGCCUUCGGGUUGUAAACCGCUUUCGCCUGUGACGAAGCGUGAGUGACGGUAAUGGGUAAAGAAGCACCGGCUAACUACGUG
rnacentral:rRNA from 1 species